GGGUGUUAUCAUACCUACGCUAAUGCGUCGGAUCCAAUCAGAACUCAACAGUUAAGCGUGCUUGGGGCAGAGUAGUACUUGGAUGGGUGACCUCUCGGGAAGUCCUAGUGUUGCACCCU
rnacentral:rRNA from 1 species